GAUUUGUGUUUAAGACUUAAGUAUCCUCUCAACAUUUUAUCUCAAUUGAAAUUUUUUAAAAUUUCUAAAUAAUAGAGUUUAUCAUUGGUAUCCAUAUCAUCCAAAGAUCAAAAAUUAUUUCGACGCACCAUUCAGGUAUAAAACUCUUAUCCAUCAUCAUUUUACUAUCGCGUUUGAGAAGAUCGAGCUUCUACAAACAACAUUUGAGUUACGCACAGACUCAAAGUAUCUACUAGGUUUUUGGCGCUAUAAAUUACAAGAAGAUUAUUGUCGUGGUCGAUUGAUUUGGUGGCAAUUGCAAUGACAUCAAUUUCAUCCCUAUCUCAGGUAUAUAAAAAGAUAAAAUAAUCACAUAGCAGACACACUUACGAGAGAAUGAAAGCCAUCAUGAAGCAAAUACAACAUCAACUCAAACAAAAGUAGGAAAAAAAAGACUCUCUACUUAGACAGCUAGAAGCAGUAAAACGUGAAUAAAAUCAGCUACAACAAAAAUUACAAAUAUUAUCAUUAUACUCUGCACCAAAGGAAGAAGCAGCUAGCAGCUCAACCACAAAAAAAUCCAACAGAAGUGUGACAUAAAAUAGUGCCGGUAGGAUAAUAAUUGUAAAGUGUGACAUAAAGUGUUGGUCGGUUAGUAAUAAUGUAAUGUGACAUAAAGUUUGUAAGAUCCAUAAUAGUGUAAGGAUCAGUAGUAUAAAUAGUUUGUCAUAUUGAGUUCAUACAAUUGCAAUAAUCAAUAAUGUAAAGGUUUGGUGUGUAAUUGGCUCUUUAAGAGCCUAUAAAUAGGGCUUUGCCCGUAAUGAAUAAAUCAGAGUGAUUUGUGUUUAAGACUUGAGUAUCCUCUCAACGUUUUAUCUAUGUUGAAAUUUUUUAAAAUUUUUUAAUAACUGAGUUUAUCCUCAGUAUCCAUAUCAUCUAAUGCACCAUUCAGGUAUAAAAAUAUUAUCCAUCAUCAUUUUAUUAUCGCAUCAUUUAGUUUGAAAAUUUUUACUAAGAAUUUUCAUUGUUAUUAUUUGUGUAUCAUCACCAUCGUCAAAAAUGUUAAUAUUAAUUGUAAUGUAAUGUGACAUAAAGUGUUUGUCGAUUAAUACUAAUGUAAUGUGACAUAAUGUUUGUAAGACUUAUAAUAGUGUAAGGGUCAGUAGUGUAAAUAGUUUGUCAUCUUGCAAUCAUACCAUUUGCAAUAAUGUAAAGGUUUCGUGUGUAAUUGGCUCUUUAAGAGCCUAUAUAUAGGGCUUUGCCGGUAAUGAACAAAUUAGAGUGAUUUGUGUAUAAGACUUAAGUAUCCUCUCAACGUUUUAUCUUUGUUGAAUUUUUUUUAAUUUCUGAAUAGCAGAUUUUAUCAUCAGUAUCCAUAUCAUCCAAAGAUCAAAAAAUAUUCUUACGCGUAAUGAACAAAUUAGAGUGAUUUGUGUAUAAGACUUAAGUAUCCUCUCAACGUUUUAUCUUUGUUGAAUUUUUUUUAAUUUCUGAAUAGCAGAUUUUAUCAUCAG
rnacentral:lncRNA from 1 species